rnacentral:lncRNA from 1 species
UGCCUCCCUCAUGUGAUCGUCAGAACCCAGCCAGAGGACGCAUGAGGGCAGCGCCUGGACCAAGGGCCAAAGGCAACAAGCCCAAGCUGAGAACCGAGACAUGAAGUCAUCAACAGUCACUGCUGCUCCAAACACACCCUACGGUAGAGCCUGAGUCCCUUCCACGGCCUCGGUGAAUUCAAAUGCAGCACAUUUACCCAGCGAAAGAGGCCACGGAUGACUUGGAUGAGAACUGCCCUUUCCCACCCACGAAUAACGGCCCCGCAGCCAGAGUAAGCUCUGGUGAGCACCGCGCCUGCCCCAGCGAGCCCAGAACAAUUAUUCCUGCUGACACCCGCCAUCACUCUCUCUCCCCGGGACACUUCCUCUGUUAUCAAGUAGAGCAAAGCCAGGAAAAACAUCACACGGCAGCAGCAUCUGGAAGCUUGCCGGAAAUGCAGAAUCGCGGGCUCACCCCAGACGCUAGUGAGGACCGGAAGUGAUUUACCUGUGAGCCCAUUAACAUUGGAGAAGCUGUGGGGGGGGGGGGGGCGGGGGGGCACUUGGGGGGCUCAGUCGGUUAGGCGUCAGACUCGUGAUCUUGGCUCAGGUCACGAUCUCACGGGGCCUGAGAUCGAGCCCCGGGUCUGCCUCUGUGCUGACAGCAUGGAGCCCGCUUGGGAUUCUCUGUCUCCCCCUCUCUCUGCCCCCCUGCCCACCACCAAAAUAAAGAAAUAUUUAAAAAAAUUUCUUUUUUGAGA